rnacentral:ncRNA from 1 species
UAUAAAGCUAUGAAAGAAAAAAGUAACUAUAGGAAUUAUUAAGAGAGCUAGUGGUAGGUGUGAACUAGUUAAGGAAUAUGGUGAAUUACAUUCUGGAGCUUUAAGCUGAAAUAAAGUUAUGCGUCACCAUAGGUGACGAUUAAAUUAAGCUGAGACGGGUUGACCUUACGUUAUAAGGAAAAAGCGGAUUGUUAAAUCAAUUUGGGUGGUACCACGGAAAAUAUUUCGUCCCUUUC